UGCGGAGGGAUCAUUACACAAUAUGAAAGCGGGUUGGGACCUCACCUCGGUGAGGGCUCCAGCUUGUCUGAAUUAUUCACCCAUGUCUUUUGCGCACUUCUUGUUUCCUGGGCGGGUUCGCCCGCCACCAGGACCAAACCAUAAACCUUUUUGUAAUUGCAAUCAGCGUCAGUAAACAAUGUAAUUAUUACAACUUUCAACAACGGAUCUCUUGGUUCUGGCAUCGAUGAAGAACGCAGCGAAAUGCGAUACGUAGUGUGAAUUGCAGAAUUCAGUGAAUCAUCGAAUCUUUGAACGCACAUUGCGCCCUUUGGUAUUCCAAAGGGCAUGCCUGUUCGAGCGUCAUUUGUACCCUCAAGCUUUGCUUGGUGUUGGGCGUCUUUGUCUCUCACGAGACUCGCCUUAAAAUGAUUGGCAGCCGACCUACUGGUUUCGGAGCGCAGCACAAUUCUUGCACUUUGAAUCAGCCUUGGUUGAGCAUCCAUCAAGACCACAUUUUCUUAACUUUUGACCUCGGAUCAGGUAGGGAUACCCGCUGAACUUAAG
rnacentral:rRNA from 1 species